CCCGCGGCCUAUCUGGGCGAAAGCCUGAUGCAGCGACCCGCGUGAGGGAUGACGGCCUUCGGGUUGUAAACCUCUUCAGCAGGGAAGAAGCGAAAGUGACGGUACCUGCAGAAGAAGCGCCGGCUAACUACGUGCCAGCAGCCCGGUAAUACGUAGGGCGCAAGCGUUGUCCGGAAUUAUUGGGCGUAAAGAGCUCGUAGGCGGCUUGUCACGUCGGUUGUGAAAGCGCGGGGCUUAACCCCGGGUCUGCAGUCGAUACGGGCAGGCUAGAGUUCGGUAGGGGAGAUCGGAAUUCCUGGUGUAGCGGUGAAAUGCGCAGAUAUCAGGAGGACACCGGUGGCGAAGGCGGAUCUCUGGGCCGAUACUGACGCUGAGGAGCGAAAGGCUGGGGAGCGAACAGGAUUAGAUACCCUGGUAGUCCACGCCGUAAACGGUGGGCACUAGGUGUGGGCAACAUUCCACGUUGUCCGUGCCGCAGCUAACGCAUUAAGUGCCCCGCCUGGGAGUACGGCCGCAAGGCUAAAACUCAAAGGAAUUGACGGGGCCCCGCACAAGCGCGGAGCAUGUGGCUUAAUUCGACGCAACGCGAAGAACCUUACCAAGGCUUGACAUACACCGGAAAGCAUCAGAGAUGGUGCCCCCCUUGUGGUCGGUGUACAGGUGGUGCAUGGCUGUCGUCAGCUCGUGUCGUGAGAUGUUGGGUUAAGUCCCGCAACGAGCGCAACCCUUGUCCCGUGUUGCCAGGCAAGCGCUUCGGGGUGUUGGGGACUCACGGGAGACCGCCAGGGGUCAACUCGGAGGAAGGUGGGACGAAGGCAAGUCAUCAUGCCCCUUAUGUCUUGGGCUGCACACGUGCUACAAUGGCCGGUACAAUGAGCUGCGAUACCGCAAGGUGGAGCGAAUCUCAAAAAGCCGGUCUCAGUUCGGAUUGGGUCUGCAACUCGACCCCAUGAAGUCGGAUGCGCUAGUAAUCGCAGAUCAGCAUUCUGCGGUGAAUACGUUCCCGGGCCUUGUACACACCGCCCGUCACGUCACGAAAGUC
rnacentral:rRNA from 1 species